rnacentral:rRNA from 1 species
AGUAACGCGUAGGUAAUCUACCCUUAUAUUUGGGAUAACAUCGGGAAACUGGUGCUAAUACCGAAUGGUCUUCUUUGCUGCGGGGCGAAGGAGUAAAGGUGGCCUCUUCAUGAAAGCUACCGUGUAGGGAUGAGCUUGCGUACCAUUGGCUAGUAGGUGGGGUAAUGGCCCACCUAGGCUACGAUGGUUAGCGGGUCUGAGAGGAUGAUCCGCCACACUGGAACUGGAACACGGACCAG